rnacentral:rRNA from 1 species
GUGGGGAAUAUUGGGCAAUGGGCGCAAGCCUGACCCAGCAACGCCGCGUGAGGGAAGAAGGCUUUCGGGUUGUAAACCUCUGUCCUUGGUGACGAAACAAAUGACGGUAGCCAAGGAGGAAGCCCCGGCUAACUACGUGCCAGCAGCCGCGGUAAUACGUAGGGGGCGAGCGUUGUCCGGAAUUACUGGGCGUAAAGGGUGCGUAGGUGGCCUUUUAAGUUGGAUGUGAAAUACCCGGGCUUAACUUGGGGGGUGCAUCUAAUACUGGAGGGCUAGAGUGCAGGAGAGGAAAGCGGAAUUCCUAGUGUAGCGGUGAAAUGCGUAGAUAUUAGGAGGAACACCAGUGGCGAAGGCGGCUUUCUGGACUGUAACUGACACUGAGGCACGAAAGCGUGGGGAGCAAACAGGAUUAGAAACCCUUGUAGUCC